rnacentral:tRNA from 1 species
UCCCUAGUAGCUCAGUUGGUUAGAGCGGCGGACUGUUAAUCCGUAGGUCACUGGGUCGAGUCCAGUCUGGGGAGCCA